UGGUGGAGUGAUUUGUCUGGUUAAUUCCGAUAACGAACGAGACCUUUACCAUACUAAAUAGUUUUGCCUAUAUUUUAUAUAGGUACUAUAACUUCUUAGAGGGACUAUUGGUUCUUAAACCAAAGGAAGUAAAGGCGAUAACA
rnacentral:rRNA from 1 species